rnacentral:tRNA from 1 species
GGCGCUAUAGUGUAGUGGUUAUCACUUGGGAUUCUGAUCAUCACACCUUAUUCCCAAAACCCAGGUUCGAGCCCUGGUAGCGCCU